UUGAAGUAGCAUUUAUUUAUAUAUGAAUACAUAAAUUAAUUUAUCCUUAGACUAGUAUUCACAUCUUUGGCAAUAAUUAAAUUGUGAGGAAUCAAUUUUGGAGUGAUCUUCAAGUAAAGAACAAUAUAAAGUCAACUAGAGAGGCCAUUAAGUUAUAGAGUUUACUUAUUAUUUAAAUAUAUUUUGUAAAACAAGUAAAUUUUUAUUGCUAUUAAUAACACAUUUUAUUUUUGAUAAGAUCAACACAACAUGCUAGAUCAAGUGAUAAAGGAUGUUAUUCUAUAAAAGCUUUAUCAUGUUUAGUAUAUGAAUAGCAUGAUAUGAGAUGAAUUGUUACUCUAGUUAUAAACCCUGUAUCAUAUAUCAGAACCAAAACUAAAAGUCUUGACACUUUAGUUUAAAAUGUACCAUGGCAACAAUCGAGGAGAAGCAAGACGACUGUGGUUUAAUACCCCAGGGAGACUUUCAAACCACUGGAAAAAGCUAUGGCCUGUGGAUGAUAUCAUUGAAGCAAUUGUAGCAAUGCGUUGGGUGAGGAGUGAUGGUCCCUCAAGAUGAAACACUGAUGGGGACCAAACCAAAGGCAGUCACUCUCCUUGUCUCACAGAAAGGAAAAGCUACUUAGGAAGCUUUAGCAGUUGGAGUAGUACAUUCCCUUCUUCCUCCAGAAUUGGGCCACAAGAGCUCUCAGUUUGCAGAGGUGCAGUGGUGUUUGCCCUAAACAACAGUAACUCUGUGGAGAUUUCCAACAAAGCAAGUUGCCAAAUUACUGCAACUUUCAGAUGUCUGUAUGUUAAGAACACAUUGGUUGGGUAAAUGGUAGGCCCUUAAUUUAAUUCAACUUUUCAGUUGUCUGAGACUAGUUUGCUUAUCAUGAGAUUAAGUAUUGGCAACUUACUUCAACAAUCAGGUACGCUACAGUUUAAGAAUUUUGUUUAUUUUAUGAUGUAUAUAAGAUAAUUUUUGCAAGGAACAUCAUUCAGUUACGAAUAGCAUGGAAAAACAAAGCAAAGAUACCUUAACUGUCCUUGGUUGGUGCUUAACUGAAUUCCUGCCUCUUCAAAUUUCAGAUUGUCAUGAUGCUUCCAAUUUGCUUUGCGGGUUGGUGUCUGGGCUUUUGUACUGAAUACCAGAGCACUCAGAUCUUGUAGCAACCAUUAGGUGGUUAUAUGUUGUAUCGAUCCAUUAAAAAUUCCAAGGAUCUACUUUUAUUUUGAUGAGAAAACCAUCAAUUUCACUUUCAAAUCCUGUGAAAAUUUUGGCGCACGCUGUCUUUUGAGAUUUAACUCAGCUGAAGCAAAUGACUCAGGUUGAUUUAAUACUGCUGGCUGUAUUUUCUUUCCCCUGCAUUAUUAGCAUAUUUAUAUUACCCCAUAUGAGUGGAUUGUUGGUAAUGUUUCUCAUUGUGUUUAGCUGCUUCUUGGAGCUUGAUUUGAUUAA